rnacentral:rRNA from 1 species
GCCAAUACUAGCCCUAAGCAUAACCAACACUAAUACCAAACUAACACGCACUAAACCAUUCACCUACACAAAGUAUAGGCGAUAGAAAUUUUAAUCUGGCGCUAUAGACGCAGUACCGUAAGGGAAAGAUGAAACCACCCAAGCACAAAACAGCAAGGACUAACCCCUGUACCUUUCGCAUAAUGAAUUAGCUAGAAACAAUUUCACAAAGAGAACUACAAGCCAAAUUCCCCGAAACCAGACGAGCUACCCAAAAACAGCUAAAAGAGCGCACCCAUCUAUGUGGCAAAAUAGUGGGAAGAUUUCUGGGUAGAGGUGACAAGCCUACCGAGCCUGGUGAUAGCUGGUUAUCCAAGACAGAAUCUUAGUUCGACCUUAAGCUUACCUAUAGAACCACCUAAUCUCCCUGUAAGCUUAAUUGCUAGUCUAAAGAGGGACAGCUCUUUAGACACUAGGAAAAAACCUUAUAGAGAGAGUAAAAUCCUCAAUUACCAUAGUUGGCUUAAAAGCAGCCAUCAAUUAAGAAAGCGUUCAAGCUCAACACUAACCACCCCAAAAAUACCAAACACAUAGCUGAACUCCUCACACCACAUUGGAUUAAUCUAUCACCAUAUAGAAGCAAUAAUGCUAGUAUAAGUAACAUGAAUAUUUUCUCCACUGCAUAAGCCCAAAUCGGAUCGAAAACCUCACCGAUACCUAACAGCCAGGCAUAGCAAGCACAAACAAGCCCAUGCUACCUUCACUGUUAACCCAACACAGGCAUGCCUCAAGGAAAGGUUAAAAAAAGUAAAAGGAACUCGGCAAACCUAAACCCCGCCUGUUUACCAAAAACAUCACCUCUAGCAUUACUAGUAUUAGAGGCACUGCCUGCCCAGUGACACACGUUUAACGGCCG